UCGUGCUAGAUGGGGAGGUAGCGGUGCCCUGUAGCCUGCAACCCGCUAUAGCAGGAUUGAAUUCCAUGAGGCGGCUGAUUUUCGUAAGUCCGGCCUGAUUAAGUGAUGUUGAGGAUUGGGUCUCGCGCAACAAAGACUU
rnacentral:SRP_RNA from 1 species